rnacentral:lncRNA from 1 species
GAAUAGAAUUGGUCAGAGAAUCUGAUCAAAACAACAUUUUGAUGUAAUGUUUGGAUGUCCCUGUUGGGCUCAUGGACUAAAAGGAUUUGAUAGCUUCAAUCCAAGAUCUUUUCCAUCCGUCUCAAUGGCAGUUGAUUCAGGAACCCCACGAACAUGUGAUCUGAAAUUUGUCUAUCUUUUUUUUUUUUUUUUUGUAGUACAGUUGUCUUAAGUCGAAAGAGGGGGUGAUGUUUAAAGAAGCUUGCCACAUUUUUAAUGUAUCUAGUUGGUUCUCCAUUAACUGUGACUAAUUAGAAACCAUCUGAUGGAACUGAAACUCACUGUAUAUUUGUGUACCUUUUCCAUCCGUCUCAAUGGCAGUUGAUUCAGGAACCCCCACGAACAUGUGAUCUGAAAUUUGUCAUCUUUUUUUUUUUGUAGACAGUUGCUUAAGUCGAAAGAGGGGGUGAUGUUUAAAGAAGCUUGCCACAUUUUUAAUGUAUCUAGUUGGUUCUCCAUUAACUGUGACUAAUUAGAAACCCAUCUGAUGGAACUGAAACUCACUGAUAUUUGUGACUGUGUUUGUGCUUUCUGUUUUAGCUGAAUGACAUUAACAAGCUACAGGUUACAUAUUAAGUUCAUGUGUUGAUGAAACACUAAAAACACAGCUGUAGUUUCAGCAGGAGUUGGGAUUUAGCCAUAGUUGGUAAAAGUGGAUUGAGAGAAGUUAAUUCAGGCUAAUCUUUGCCCUCCAAACUGUAAGAGAAGAGUGUUGGGGUUAAUCAUGUUAGGACCGGUCUGACAAGAGAUGUGCUCAAUGAAAACACAGCAAAACACAGGACCACAAAUCACUGGACUGUACUUCCUUUUCUGAUGGCAAACUCAAUCCAAACACACUAGCAGUAUAUUUUUGAACAUGAUUUUAUUUAUGGUUUGUGAUUCAUAUUUUUAUACCACAGGAUGGUUUAUUCAGGUCAUGUCAGCACAUUUUAUGUCAUUAAUAAUAUUUUCCAUAUGAGCUUCCAGUUCUUGCAUUUUCAAUAGUACAAAAGGACAUUUAAAGGGAACCACCCUUUAAUUGUCUGAUCUUGUCCUUUGCUUUUUACAGUAUCUGUGAUGAAAACAAGAGUGAGGUCACCUACUGUAACAUCUAUCUUUGAUCUACCUCUCAUUGAUCUCAGCUUAUGCGCAUCGUUUUGAGUAGUAUUUGAUCAUUGGUGAAUAAGCUCGGAUCAAUGAGGCAAACAUAAAUACAAAACCUGUGCUAAUUGAAAGAAAACAAGUUGACAAGAAGAUUGAUUCCAAGAUUUGGUUAAAAAACAGCAUGAUAAAUUUAUAAGCAGUUUUUGUAGGCUGGUCAUUUUUGACUGGGAACAUCACAGGUAUAACAAGGUGGGAAAUAAUUCAAGUAAACAUACAAAAAUUAUAAAAAGAAUUUCGGAAAGUCAACUUUUGAGCAAAAUCUGUAGGUUUUAGACCACUGUGAUUACAUUAACAAGUUUUUUUUUUUUUUUUUUGGGGGGUUUUUUGGGGGGGGGGGGGGUAUUUUGGGGGGGGGUUUGGUUGGGGUCAAAAUCAAAAUGACCAGAACACAAUGUGAGGGUUAAGAAACUGCAAAUAACAUGAUCAAUACAGUCAGUGCAUUACAAGUGUUGUUUAAUGAUUAUUUCCAGCACCUUCACUUCAACAAAGAACCAGCCAAGAACUAUUUGUGGCUCAUAUAACCUGAAUUCUGAUUACACCCAGAACUCAGGCAGGUUUACAUCAAUCACAUACCAUAAACUUUAUAACCGUAACCAAGUCAAUCAAUGACCAGGUGGAAUGUCAUCGUUAAACAAAAGCCAUGGGCUAAUUUCUCAGAACUUAACUUUUGUUUACUUUUGCUAAUAGGGGGGAUUGCAAAAUAUCUGACCUAUGUGCCAGUGCCCUCGAAGAAAAGCAGGCCUACAUUUGUUCAAUGAAAUGAAAUGCAUCUUAUUCUAAAAUAACGUGAUAAAACAUGAAUCACGAGUCUGACGGUUAAGGGUGUUAGAGUAGAAGUCAUCUGGUCUUUUAACACGAUUGUGUAAGUGAAAUACACUAAAGAGGUAGUAGCUAUAACAACAGCUUCUACAAGUUAAGGCUCGUUCAAACCAAGAAUGAUAAUUAAUGCAAGGUGAAUUUCUGUUUAUUGCGCACUGCAGUUUUGUCUCCUGCCACGUUAAAUGCUUUAAAAUCAGGUGGAUUCUGAUUGGCUGUCAAUGUUUUUUAUCGUUCAUCAUCUGAAAAAAAAGUGAUUCUAACAUUAUUGUUAAUCUGGAUUGUUAUUCUUAUAGCCGUGUCCUAUGUAGAAUUAGAAAGAUUAAAAGGCAUAGGUUUGAUUUGGACAUUGGUGGGGACAUUUGACCCCAUGUUCAUGUCACCUAAAGUCUUUAUUUGAAAAACACAUGGUUAAUAUAGUUAAACCAUGGUGUUUGUAAUAACACUGUAGUUAUACAAAUGGUAAAAACAUGGUUACUAGCCUACAUUUUUACUAUAUAAAACCAUGGUUUAUUUUUGUAUCUUUGUAUGCUUUCUUUUUUUCUUUGUUUUGUUUUUAAAACAUGCUUUUUAACUUUAUAUACUGCCUUGAUUUGAUGAAAAAUUAAAUAAAAAAAAAAAACAGAAUAAAACAUUUUCUAAACGCUCUCCGAAGUCCCGAUCUGAAUCGUAGUUCUGAUCUAAAUAAAAUGAUUUUAAGUCCAGAUCUGAAUCAUGAUUCGCGAUGCACAGUCCUUUAGAGUUUUUUGCAUGUGAAUCGAGUUUGAAUUUGAAUCAAUCUGGGCUGCGUUUCCUAAAAGCAUCGUAAGCUGAAGAACAUCGUAGACCCAUUGAAACCAACGGAGCUACGAUCAAUUUGGGCUUACGAUGCUUUUGGGAAACGCAGCCCUGAGCGGUUCUAACAUAAA